GCUUUCGUGGUGCAGUGGUCAGCACACUCGAGAUGUAUUCGAGAGGUUCAUGGUUCGAAUCCCGGCGAGGUCA
rnacentral:tRNA from 1 species